rnacentral:rRNA from 1 species
UGGGGAAUCUUGCACAAUGGGGGCAACCCUGAUGCAGCGACGCCGCGUGAGCGAUGAAGCCCUUCGGGGCGUAAAGCUCUUUCGACCGGAACGAUAAUGACGGUACCGGGAGAAGAAGCUGCGGCUAACUACGUGCCAGCAGCCGCGGUAAUACGUAGGCAGCAAGCGUUGUUCGGAGUUACUGGGCGUAAAGAGUGCGUAGGCGGUUUUCUAAGUUCGGUGUGAAAUCUCCCGGCUUAACUGGGAGGGUGCGCCGAAGACUGGGAAGCUGGAGUGUGGGAAAGGCGGGCGGAAUUCCAGGUGUAGCGGUGAAAUGCGUAGAUAUCAGGAGGAACACCGGCGGUGUAGACGGCUUGCUAGACCAUAACUGACGCUGAGGCACGAAAGCGUGGGUAGCAAACA